rnacentral:tRNA from 1 species
GCCCUGGUGGUCUAGCGGUAUGAUUCUUCCUUAGGGUUGUUGAAUAUUCAUCAGCUUGGAAGAGGUCCCAGGUUCGAUCCCUGGCCAGGGCC